GUGUUGGUUGAAAGGAGAUAGGUUGACAUCUCUUCUGACAGGGACAGGAAAUUCUUUGGGAAUUUACCUCCUACAAGACACAUCCGGCUAACGCUAUUCACUUGGGUGGAUCUUAUCCAAUUAAUCUU
rnacentral:ncRNA from 1 species